UGGCGGACGGGUGAGUAAUGUCUGGGAAACUGCCCGAUGGAGGGGGAUAACUACUGGAAACGAUAGCUAAUACCGCAUAACGUCGCAAGACCAAAGAGGGGGACCUUCGGGCCUCUUGCCAUCGGAUGUGCCCAGAUGGGAUUAGCUAGUAGGUGGGGUAACGGCUCACCUAGGCGACGAUCCCUAGCUGGUCUGAGAGGAUGACCAGCCACACUGGAACUGAGACACGGUCCAG
rnacentral:rRNA from 1 species